rnacentral:ribozyme from 1 species
UGCCCAGAAACUCCUAUCCCUACCUUCACGUGGUACCGGGAGCAACUCUAGGGAAGAUCGGGUAACCAACCUCGGUGGGAACUUUGGUCGUAGGCUGACAGGGAAGG